CUGUACUUUUAAGAGCAUGGCACACAAAGGACGUUCGUUCACUCCGAACGGCGCUUCAGCAGUGACUGCUUUGAAAGUGUAGAAAAUGGAAUCUGGCUCGGUGGAGAAUGAGGAGACAUUACACGGGUGUACACAGGAAUCCAGUGUACACACAGACUAAAAUUGUAUUUGGCCUAAUACAUGUUUAAUGUUUCUUGUGAAAUGUUCAUGCAUAUUUUAAUAUUUAAAUAAGUUUCAAUGUUUUAU